GUAAUGGUGGUUCUGUGGUAGAAUUCUUUCCUUCCGUUUCAGAGACCUGGGUUCGAUUCCCAGCCAAUGCA
rnacentral:tRNA from 1 species